rnacentral:lncRNA from 1 species
GGGAAUUACCUGGAACAAGGAAGCGCCUGAAACGGACGUCCACGAAGAGGCCUGUCGGCUGUCCGAUGAGGUGUCUGUGAUCAGAGGGAAAUGUGUACUUUUUGAGGUGUGACAACAGGAGCCUUCCUAGGGCUUUCUGCUGCCAGCCUGACUCCAGAGUCCUUGAAAAGCUCUGUCUUAAGGGCAUAAGGAGAACGUGAUAGAACUGGACAUGUGACAUCUUUUACUCCUGUCACCAAGACCUCCGUCCUCCAUGCAGCCGGGACCGGGGGCUCUUUGUCUUGGUCUUGGGUGAUGCCUGUGAAAGGCUCAUUCAACCUUCCAAGGGAUUGAGGAGACUCGUGUUGUUGGAAACCCUUAGGGAUUUUAAUAUUCCCCAAGUGACAGCAAAUGGCCUCUCUGUGUUUCUAGACUGUAUCUGGGACUCCUUCCUAUUGGCAGAAGGGCCACGAAAGAAUGACGUGAAUUUGGAGCAGAUGGUGCCUUCGUCCGUUGCUGAACUCUGCUUGCGGCCCAAAGGAAGACUUGAUACUGAAGGUGCUUUAAUGGCUUUCUGCUCAGUUUGUUGUAAAUUCUAAAUGGGGUGAUUGAAGGCUGUAACGAGCAGUGUUGUUGGACGCCUCUGGCUGCAACAUCUGGUGAAUGCCUUCACUAGCUGACAACUGUUAGUCUUGGCCUCAAGGGAGUACUACCCAGACCUUUGGCUUUAAGUAGGUUGCCGAUUAGGCUGCCAGAAGCAAGAAUCACUAGUUCAUGUAUCACAAGGAAGAAGAAGAAAUACCACCAUAACUUUGUUUCUAGUAUUAACAAUACAAUCGGUUAAGGCAGACCUUGCGUGUGCUGUUAUGGAAGCACUUGAAAGUCAGAUUUUUAUUACAGGUUUUUAGUUCAGGAAUUUAAAUUGAUAUUCUAAGCCUUGUGUAGCCUCUCUCAGAGACAAAUCCAAAUUGCUAACAGCACCAGGGAAAUCUAGAAAAAUUGGCUUACUGUCCCAUAUUAGUGAGGCUGACGUUGCAGCAGAGCCAGUUUGCUUGCUGGAGAUGACGGAUCACGGGAGGAGAGUGUGGCCCACGGCACUGAAAGCUCCAUUAGCCAGUAAUUUAAAAGCACUACAAUUUAAGAAACAGGAAUAAUAGAAAUAAGAUAUCUAGAGUAAAUGUUCCUGUCACUAAGGUUAUGCUAAGGUCCUCGCAGACUAGUCUCUGGGUGAUUAGUAUGUUUAAAAUAAGAAUAGAAAUAAGAUUCUAGAUAAAAAAGGUAUUACAGGCUAAAAAAAUUUAAAUAGCAUUCUUUCUUAUCAGUUUUUAUCGUCAUUAAAACAACAUUUUAAAUC